CAGAGUUUAGAUAUAGCCCCUCUGAGUAUUCUUAUUUUAUGAUAUACAGGAUGCUGUAUUUUUGAAUUUGGUAAAUUUCCACUCACUUUGUGUUUAGGUCUCCCAGGAUCUUGUUCUGUAAUAUUGAAGAAAAGCUACUUGAUUCCACUGAGUUUACGUGUAAGCUAUGGCAUUCUUAUAAAUGUUGACGUGGGCUACUCUAGAGAAGAAGCAAAAGGAGACACUCCAUGGAAUAGUCAGCAAUAGCAGGAGAAUUCAACAGAACAGAGUUUGAGUCUUCAAUUGUGAUUCAUAUCCAGUAACAUAAUCAAGUCAGUUUUUUAGAAAGGAUUCAGAAUUGUUACUAGCCUUGUACUGAGGUUUUGUAUGUAGAUAGAUUUCCUCAUUCAUGAAUAGGGAGACUCCUAUCCCAGACUGAAGACUUAUCAGCAGAUAUCCAAGACAGAGAAAAAAAGAUGAAUAAAUGGCUAUAUAAUUGGAAGUGUUGGUUUCAGUUGCUGUUUUAAGAUGUAAGAGAAGCAGCAAAUGGUAAUUCAAUGUUAAAGAAGAAGAUGUUAUAAAAUUGAUAGAAACAGUUAAAAAUCAUGGCAGUGUAAGUUCAUUUAAAGCAAUG
rnacentral:lncRNA from 1 species